rnacentral:lncRNA from 1 species
UCACUUUAAGACGCGAAGGGUUAGGUUUGCUGCUGGUGUGAAUGCGUUCACGCAGGCAGGAAGAUCCGCCCAGAGAGUCAGACACACGGGCAGUAAUGAAUGGAGCCUGACCCGCAGGCGGCUGGAUAUUGACGAUAAACGUGUCUUGAGCGCUAGCGACNGGCCGUGGGGGGUUUUCCUGCUGAAAGGUUUCGUUAGUAGCGCUAAGGGAGUUCAGGAUUGUGCUGAGAUGCCACAGAAACCAGACUCGCCCAGACAGUAGCAGACUAGACACACCUGAGCAGACAGGUGGCAGCCCUACCCUCUACACAGCACCAGGCUGGACUCCAAAUCAUAUAUUAGGAGGAUUUGAGUUGGCGUGCAUGAGAGAUUGUCACGUUAAACACGAGCAGCACUAACGCAGACACAACCUGGAGCGUCUUAUAUAACUGAGAAAGCUCUCCUGCAUCAGUGAGUGCUCUUAUGUGAAGUGCUCUGAUUUUAUUCUACCCCUGUCAAUGUUAUGUCUGUCCAUGUUGACUCACAGCAGUCAUACAGUACAAUAUACAUCUCAGUGAUGGAUCAUCAUAGAUCUAUUGAAUAAAAAAUUGUGCAUUAAAGGAAUAGUUCACCCAAAAAUAAAAAUUUACUGAAAAUUUGCUCUUAGCCCA